rnacentral:rRNA from 1 species
AACGAACGCUGGCGGCGCGCCUAAUACAUGCAAGUCGAGCGAGAAGACGUAGCAAUACGUUUGUAAAGCGGCGAACGGGUGAGGAAUACAUGGGUAACCUACCCUCGAGUGGGGAAUAACUAGCCGAAAGGUUAGCUAAUACCGCGUACGCUCCUUGGACUUCGGUUCAGGGAGGAAAGCGAUACCGUGGGUAUCGCGCUCUUGGAUGGGCUCAUGUCCUAUCAGCUUGUUGGGAGGUAACGGCUCACCAAGGCUUCGACGGGUAGCUGGUCUGAGAGGACGAUCAGCCACACUGGCACUGCGACACGGGCCAGACUCCUACGGGAGGCAGCAGUAAGGAAUAUUGCGCAAUGGGCGAAAGCCUGACGCAGCGACGCCGCGGUGGGGGA